CUUUUCUUUCUUUCCUUCCUUCCUUCUUAUCUUCCUAUCUUUCUUUCUUUCCAUUUUUUUUCAACCAAACUUCUCUUGUGAGAAGCAGUUGAGUUAGAGUGAGGACAGGAUUUGUUUCAGCAGGGAAGAGCAUUAAUUGCUUAGGGUAAAGGACUUAAACUGAAUAGUCCAGGCAACUUCUCAUGUGAAGAAGCUCCCAGGAGUGAGGGCCAAUUUAACUUCCUUCCUAUCUCAGACAAUUGACAUAGGGUAUGUUAUGAGAGAAGGCACUGAGCAAAUAUCAUAUUGGUCUCUAGGGUAGCCCAAACCUAUGCUCCUGCUAAAAUCAUAGUUUGUACUGUAAACUGACUUUUCAUAAUACCAGAGCUCUUUAUGAAAUUCAAAAGAAAUGCAGAAAUAUGCCUUCAAGGAACUUGCAACCUGGACCUAGAGACAGAAGUGCAAAAAAAUUAAUGUGAUAAAAUUGGGUGGUUACAGAAAAUGAAAUUGUGAUCAACCCAGAAGGAGGAACUAGUGACUUAACGAUACCAUUGGCACUAUCUAAGUAAGAAUUUCAAAUUUAAUUAGCAUGCCUACAAUUUGCCACUCAAUCUUCUUUCCAGUACCACGUGUACCAUGAAGGGUCAGACGACCUGAAGGUGAAAUGACAACUGUGUUUCGGUUUCUUGGCAAAGUCUGAAGUGCUUAAGUUGUCC
rnacentral:lncRNA from 1 species